rnacentral:rRNA from 1 species
UACGUAGGGUGCGAGCGUUGCCCGGAUUUAUUGGGCGUAAAGAGCGCGCAGGCGGUCGUUCAAGUCGAGUGUGAAAGCCCCCGGCUCAACUGGGGAGGGUCACUCGAUACUGAUCGACUCGAAGGCAGGAGAGGGUAGUGGAAUUCCCGGUGUAGUGGUGAAAUGCGUAGAUAUCGGGAGGAACACCAGUGGCGAAGGCGACUACCUGGCCUGUUCUUGACGCUGAGGCGCGAAAGCUAGGGGAGCAAACGGG